GACGUAGGGCGCGAGCGUUGUCCGGAUUUAUUGGGCGUAAAGAGCUCGUAGGCGGUCUGUCGCGUCUGCUGUGAAAACUCAGGGCUUAACCCUGAGCUUGCAGUGGGUACGGGCAGACUAGAGUGCGGUAGGGGAGACUGGAAUUCCUGGUGUAGCGGUGAAAUGCGCAGAUAUCAGGAGGAACACCGAUGGCGAAGGCAGCUCGCUGGGACGGUACUGACGCUGAGACGCGAAAGCGUGGGGGAGCAAACAGG
rnacentral:rRNA from 1 species